UUCAUGUGACUGAGCGGCGGACGGGUGAGUAACGCGUGGGCAACCUGCCUUACACAGGGGGAUAACAGUUAGAAAUGACUGCUAAUACCGCAUAAGACCCCGGGACCGCAUGGUUCCGAGGUAAAAACUCCGGUGGUGUAAGAUGGGCCCGCGUCUGAUUAGGUAGUUGGCGGGGUAACGGCCCACCAAGCCGACGAUCAGUAGCCGACCUGAGAGGGUGACCGGCCACAUUGGGACUGAGACACGGCCCAGACUCCUACGGGAGGCAGCAG
rnacentral:rRNA from 1 species